rnacentral:rRNA from 1 species
GACGAACGCUGGCGGCGUGCUUAACACAUGCAAGUCGAACGGAAAGGCCCUGCUUUUGUGGGGUGCUCGAGUGGCGAACGGGUGAGUAACACGUGAGUAACCUGCCCUUGACUUUGGGAUAACUUCAGGAAACUGGGGCUAAUACCGGAUAGGAGCUCCUGCUGCAUGGUGGGGGUUGGAAAGUUUCGGCGGUUGGGGAUGGACUCGCGGCUUAUCAGCUUGUUGGUGGGGUAGUGGCUUACCAAGGCUUUGACGGGUAGCCGGCCUGAGAGGGUGACCGGCCACAUUGGGACUGAGAUACGGCCCAGACUCCUACGGGAGGCAGCAGUGGGGAAUAUUGCACAAUGGGCGGAAGCCUGAUGCAGCAACGCCGCGUGCGGGAUGACGGCCUUCGGGUUGUAAACCGCUUUCGCCUGUGACGAAGCGUGAGUGACGGUAAUGGGUAAAGAAGCACCGGCUAACUACGUGCCAGCAGCCGCGGUGAUACGUAGGGUGCGAGCGUUGUCCGGAUUUAUUGGGCGUAAAGGGCUCGUAGGUGGUUGAUCGCGUCGGAAGUGUAAUCUUGGGGCUUAACCCUGAGCGUGCUUUCGAUACGGGUUGACUUGAGGAAGGUAGGGGAGAAUGGAAUUCCUGGUGGAGCGGUGGAAUGCGCAGAUAUCAGGAGGAACACCAGUGGCGAAGGCGGUUCUCUGGGCCUUUCCUGACGCUGAGGAGCGAAAGCGUGGGGAGCGAACAGGCUUAGAUACCCUGGUAGUCCACGCUGUAAACGGUGGGUACUAGGUGUGGGGUCCAUUCCACGGGUUCCGUGCCGUAGCUAACGCUUUAAGUACCCCGCCUGGGGAGUACGGCCGCAAGGCUAAUACUCAAAGGAAUUGACGGGGCCCCGCACAAGCGGCGGAGCAUGCGGAUUAAUUCGAUGCAACGCGUAGAACCUUACCUGGGUUUGACAUGGAUCGGGAGUGCUCAGAGAUGGGUGUGCCUCUUUUGGGGUCGGUUCACAGGUGGUGCAUGGCUGUCGUCAGCUCGUAUCGUGAGAUGUUGGGUUAAGUCCCGCAACGAGCGCAACCCUUGUUCACUGUUGCCAGCACGUUAUGGUGGGGACUCAGUGGAGACCGCCGGGGUCAACUCGGAGGAAGGUGGGGAUGACGUCAAGUCAUCAUGCCCCUUAUGUCCAGGGCUUCACGCAUGCUACAAUGGCUGGUACAGAGAGUGGCGAGCCUGUGAGGGUGAGCGAAUCUCGGAAAGCCGGUCUCAGUUCGGAUUGGGGUCUGCAACUCGACCUCAUGAAGUCGGAGUCGCUAGUAAUCGCAGAUCAGCAACGCUGCGGUGAAUACGUUCCCGGGGCU